UUUAUGAGCUUGUACCCUCUAGAGGUAAUUGAUUCCUAUUAAAUAGAAUAUUUCAGAUGCUAAGCAGGGUUGUGCCUGGUUAGUACUUAGGUGGGAGACCACCUAAGAAGACCAGGUGCUGUAGGAA
rfam:Pteropus alecto contig62656, whole genome shotgun sequence.